UACAGAGGUCCCAAGCGUUGUUCGGCUUCACUGGGCGUAAAGGGUGCGUCGGCGGUUGGGUAAGUUCGAUGUGAAAUCUCCGAGCCCAACUCGGAAAUGGCAUCGGAUACUAUCCGGCUCGAGGAUUGGAGGGGGGACUGGAAUUCUCGGUGUAGCAGUGAAAUGCGUAGAUAUCGAGAGGAACACCAGUGGCGAAGGCGAGUCCCUGGACAAUUCCUGACGCUGAGGCACGAAAGCUAGGGGAGCAAACAGG
rnacentral:rRNA from 1 species